UGUUUCGGCUAGGGGGUCAUCCCGACUUACCAACCCGAUGCAAACUACGAAUACCGAAGAAUGUUAUCACGGGAGACACACGGCGGGUGCUAACGUCCGUCGUGAAGAGGGAAACAACCCAGACCGCCAGCUAAGGUCCCAAAGUCAUGGUUAAGUGGGAAACGAUGUGGGAAGGCACAGACAGCCAGGAUGUUGGCUUAGAAGCAGCCAUCAUUUAAAGAAAGCGUAAUAGCUCACUGGUCGAGUCGGCCUGCGCGGAAGAUGUAACGGGGCUAAACCAUGCACCGAAGCUGCGGCAGCGACACUAUGUGUUGUUGGGUAGGGGAGCGUUCUGUAAGCCUGCGAAGGUGUG
rnacentral:rRNA from 2 species